GUUAUUGGCGCUGAUAUUUCUACAGCAGUAUGGAUGGAAGCGAGGAAGCAGGAGAGUUGGACUUCAGUGCCUUGUUGAAGAAAAGAGACAGUUGUUUUAAAGGUUCACCAGGUCAUCGUGCCUCUAAGUCCCAGGUCAAAAGUGAGCCUGAUGAGGAUGUAUGGGAAAUCCUCCAGAAGGCUCCAGCCAGUGAGUAUGAGAAGAUUGCCUUCCAGUAUGGCAUCACAGACCU